rnacentral:rRNA from 1 species
AGCGAACGCUGGCGGCAGGCCUAACACAUGCAAGUCGAACGAACUCCUCGGAGUUAGUGGCGGACGGGUGAGUAACACGUGGGAACGUGCCUUCUGGUUCGGAAUAACUCAGGGAAACUUGUGCUAAUACCGAAUGUGCCCUUCGGGGGAAAGAUUUAUCGCCAUUAGAGCGGCCCGCGUCUGAUUAGCUAGUUGGUGAGGUAACGGCUCACCAAGGCGACGAUCAGUAGCUGGUCUGAGAGGAUGACCAGCCACACUGGGACUGAGACACGGCCCAGACUCCUACGGGAGGCAGCAGUGGGGAAUCUUGCGCAAUGGGCGAAAGCCUGACGCAGCCAUGCCGCGUGAAUGAUGAAGGUCUUAGGAUUGUAAAAUUCUUUCACCGGGGACGAUAAUGACGGUACCCGGAGAAGAAGCCCCGGCUAACUUCGUG